UUCCCAACCCAGAGAUCGGACCCAGAUCUUCUGCGUUGCAGGUCAUUGGGUUCAGAGAAUGACAGUUCAUGAUUAUCUACCUUUUAAGCUUUUGGAAUUAUGCCAAAGCCUCUGGUGACUGGUGUAGGCAAUGAGACUAAAAUGACCUUCUCUCCAAUGACUGCCUCCAACCAGGCCUUCUCCUGAAAGCUGGAGACCAAUUAUUUCACCGGUGGAGGGGUGGGGAGAGAAUUUCUCGCCAUCAACUUCUCCAAGCCUUAGAGAUUUUAAGAGGUCAGAUGUCUGGCAACAAAUGACAGUACAGUGGUCUUAAAGAAAAACAUUAGAAUUUCAUGUCAAGCAAGCUGGAGACAGAGAAGCAGCCCUUUAAUCAGACAGGAAAACUGGGAGGAAGAUACUGUAAUCUAAAGUUUUGAAGUAUAAUGGGGCUCUACCAUUGGAAAUUGUUUUUAUUGACAAGUUUGCAUUGAUGCAACCUAGUUUAAAACCAACUGAGACGACCAAAGUGAGCAGUGAGUCCAAGUGACAUUGUUGAUAAGACUUGGUAUAUGAACACGGGAGACAAUUUAUCUAGGCUGGUGAAGUCUGUACUACCUGCAUCACCACUGUAGCCUGUUCAGAGCAACACACAGGACCCCUAAGGACUCUACAUAUGUGAUAUAUGAGUACUUGCUUUAUGUGCAUUAAGCAACCAGAAGGACUACUGUACCUUCUUCUGAGCCCUGCACCAUCUGACAUCAACUAACCUCUUACCCAGACUCCACUGUAGCAAGAUCACUGAAGGGCACCAUUCACUCUGCACUACAGAAUCAUGUUUAAGGAGGCCAACUACCUUGAUACACUAACAAGGCAAUGACAGACACUCUCCAAAAAUGAUGUACUUCAUCUUCAUCCUCUAUGCUGGUCCUCUUUCCAAACAAGCAACUGCCAGCCUUAAGGCCAUAACCUAUGCCAUCUCCAUGCCCCAGUUCUGCCUCUAAAUCAUCUGCAGGUUUUGGAGUACGUUCUUUUAGACUUGUUGAUUCCACUUAUCCAGUGACCCUAAAACAAAGUAUAUUCACUAGGUUUGGGAAGAAAACUUUCAACUGCUUUCUUCCCUUUUUCCUUUUUUCCCUUAUCCCCUCUUUCUCCUUUUUCUCUUUUAUUGUCAGACAUUUGAACAAGUUAUCUAUUCACUGUCACUGCAUUUCACCUCAUGCUUGUUCUUCAUCUUUCAUUAUGGAUGCUUUGCUAAGUUAGCUCUUCCUAAUUUCACACAUGAGUUCCAAGUUUCCAAAUUAAAUAUCAUUUUUAUAUUUUCAAUUUGUCAUUCUUAUAUUGACUUCUGAAGACAACAUUUAUUCUUGUGUUCACUCAGUUUAUUCUACUAAUAUUUUUAAACACCUACCUUCAACAAAACAGUAUGGCAAGCAAGGAGAAUAAAGAAAUGAUCAAUAAAUACAUGGUUGAUGUUCUUGUGAUGCAUAUACUUCAUACAGGAGACAAAUAUUAGACAAAUAAUCAUAAAACUAAGUUUAACUAAAAUCCGAGUUAAGUCCUCUAAGGAAAAGAGUCUGGCCUAUAUUUAGACUUGAGGUCACCCUCCCAAAGAAGUCAGUCUUGAGCUGAGAUCUGAAAAAUGAGCAGAACUUUAUCUAAAGACACAGGGACAUGGACACCCUGA